AUUGAACGCUGGCGGCAUGCUUUACACAUGCAAGUCGAACGGUAACAGGCCGCAAGGUGCUGACGAGUGGCGCACGGGUGAGUAAUGCAUCGGAACGUGCCCAGUCGUGGGGGAUAACUACUCGAAAGAGUAGCUAAUACCGCAUACGAUCUAUGGAUGAAAGCGGGGGACCGUAAGGCCUCGCGCGAUUGGAGCGGCCGAUGUCAGAUUAGGUAGUUGGUGGGGUAAAGGCUCACCAAGCCAACGAUCUGUAGCUGGUCUGAGAGGACGACCAGCCACACUGGAACUGAGACACGGCCCAGACUCCUACGGGAGGCAGCAGUGGGGAAUUUUGGACAAUGGGCGAAAGCCUGAUCCAGCAAUGCCGCGUGCAGGAAGAAGGCCUUCGGGUUGUAAACUGCUUUUGUACGGAACGAAACGGCUCUGGUUAAUACCCGGGGCUAAUGACGGUACCGUAAGAAUAAGCACCGGCUAACUACGUG
rnacentral:rRNA from 1 species